rnacentral:rRNA from 1 species
GACAGAGGAGCCAAGCGUUGUCCGGAUUGACUGGGCGUAAAGCGCACGCAGGCGGCCGUGCACGUGGGGUGUGAAAGCGCUCGGCUUAACUGAGCGAUGCCACCUCAUACGGCAGGGCUCGAGCCCGUGAGAGGUCCACGGAAUUGCCGGUGUAGUGGUGAAAUGCGUAGAGAUCGGCAGGAACACCCAGGGGGAAACCAGUGGACUGGCACGGUGCUGACGCUCAGGUGCGGAAGCGUGGGGAGCGAACCGG